CGGUAUCUGGCUCAGGACGAACGCUGGCGGCGUGCCUAAUACAUGCAAGUCGAACGGCUUUUCUAUGGAAGCUUGCUUCCACUGAGAAGAUAGUGGCGAACGGGUGAGUAACACGUGGGUAACCUGCCCAUAAGAGGGGGAUAACAUCCGGAAACGGGUGCUAAUACCGCAUAGUUUUCUUGAUCGCAUGAUCGGGAAAGGAAAGACGGCCUUUGUGCUGUCGCUUAUGGAUGGACCCGCGGCGUAUUAGUUAGUUGGUGAGGUAACGGCUCACCAAGACGAUGAUACGUAGCCGACCUGAGAGGGUGAUCGGCCACAUUGGGACUGAGACACGGCCCAAACUCCUACGGGAGGCAGCAGUAGGGAAUCUUCCGCAAUGGACGAAAGUCUGACGGAGCAACGCCGCGUGAGUGAAAGAAGGUUUUCGGAUCGUAAAACUCUGUUGUCAGAGAAGAACAAGUUGGAGAGUAACUGCUCCAGCCUUGACGGUAUCUGACCAGAAAGCCACGGCUAACUACGUGCCAGCCGCCGC
rnacentral:rRNA from 1 species